ACAUACAAACAAGGAGAGAUAAAAUUUUAUAUUACUACAUACAAACAAAGAAAAAUAUGGCUGAAAUUCACAAUUUUAUUUCUAUUAUGAUUUUUUGUCUUUUGAUUUUUAUCAUAGGAAUCAAAGGCGAAUUUUACUGCUUAUCCAUUAAAGAUUGUCCUCAGAAUUUGUGUGUCGGAUCUCCUUUACCUUUACAAUGCUUAAAGUUUAUAUGUCGUUGUGAGUCAAUCUAGAAAAUAUGAUAAAAAAUAAUUUCAUGGUACUUAGUAAAAUAAAGUUGUACUUGAAAAUAUAUUGUUUUUACUUCUAUGAUUUCUCUAGAAUGUCAAUACUUUUUCUUUAUCCAUAAAAGAGAAUUGUACAAUGGCCAUUAGUGCCACCGUUAACGAUAAUAAUAAUAAGGGUCUUGUUAUCUUGUAUCCUUAGGGCACAAUUUAAGAAAUCCAAAGUUAGAAAUAUGUCAUAGAAAAGAAUAAAAAUUUGACUUUGAAAAGUUGAAUAAGAUUGAACGCACAACUUUUAAUACA